rnacentral:rRNA from 1 species
CAGUAGCCGCGGUAAUCCGGAGGGGGCUAGCGUUGUUCGGAAUUACUGGGCGUAAAGCGCACGUAGGCGGCUUGGUAAGUUAGAGGUGAAAGCCUGGAGCUCAACUCCAGAAUUGCCUUUAAGACUGCCGAGCUAGCAGGUGAGAGAGGUAAGUGGAAUUCCGAGUGUAGAGGUGAAAUUCGUAGAUAUUCGGAAGAACACCAGUGGCGAAGGCGGCUCACUGGCUCAUACUGGACGCUGAGGUGCGAAAGCGUGGGGAGCAAACAGGAUUAGAUACCCCAGUAGUCCCUGUCUCUUAUAC